UGCCUUAGUAACGGCGAGUGAAGCGGCAAUAGCUCAAAUUUGAAAUCUGGCUCUUUUAGAGUCCGAGUUGUAAUUUGUAGAAGAUGCUUCGGCUUACGUAUCGGUCUAAGUUCCUUGGAACAGGACGUCACAGAGGGUGAGAAUCCCGUUUGUGGCCGGUACUUCCGCUAUGUGAAGCUCCUUCGACGAGUCGAGUUGUUUGGGAAUGCAGCUCUAAAUGGGAGGUAAAUUUCUUCUAAAGCUAAAUAUUGGCCAGAGACCGAUAGCGCACAAGUAGAGUGAUCGAAAGAUGAAAAGCACUUUGGAAAGAGAGUUAAAAAGUACGUGAAAUUGUUGAAAGGGAAGCGCUUGCGACCAGACUUGUCUUUAGUUGCUCCGCUGGUCCUUCGACCAGUGUAUUCUUCUAUUGUCAGGCCAGCAUCAGUUUGGGUGGUUGGAUAAAGUCAUGAGGAAUGUGACUCUCUUCGGGGAGUGUUAUAGCCUUGUGUGCAAUACAGCCUACCUAGACUGAGGACCGCGCUUCGGCUAGGAUGCUGGCGUAAUGGUCGUAAGCGGCCCGUCUUGAAACACGGACCAAGGAGUCUAACAUCUAUGCGAGUGUUUGGGUGUCAAACCCGUGCGCGAAAUGAAAGUGAACGGAGGUGGGAACCUUUGGGUGCACCAUCGACCGAUCCUGAUGUCUUCGGAUGGAUUUGAGUAAGAGCAUAGCUGUUGGGACCCGAAAGAUGGUGAACUAUGCCUGAAUAGGGUGAAGCCAGAGGAAACUCUGGUGGAGGCUCGCAGCGGUUCUGACGUGCAAAUCGAUCGUCAAAUUUGGGUAUAGGGGCGAAAGACUAAUCGAACCAUUAAAAAAACUUAGUUACUAGGUGGUUAAGAGGCGGCUAAAAGUGACCGUCUAGUCCCUUCAUUCGGGGCAACACCGUCAAAUUGCGGGGACUUCCUUAGAGCUUGAACUACCGCGACUACAUUGAAAAAUGUUGGUGCAGCACCGGGUUAAUUACCUAGGGGAUGGUAAAAAUGUUCAAGAUUGGUUAAUCCGCAGCCAAGUCCUAAGUCAAUUUUUUAAAUAAAAUUGAUAUGGAUGCAGUUCACAGACUAGAUGUCGGUGGGUGUAAUCAUUUUUUUGGUUAUGCUUAAGGUAUAGUCGGUUCCCUAUGGAAACAUAGGCAGUAAGUCAAAGCUUUUAGGCAGGAUGACCCCCCUAAGUUAACUUAAGAGGUGUGCCUAAUAGCCCGAAAUUUACUGGGGUGUCUUUUUUUUUU
rnacentral:rRNA from 1 species